CCUACGGGCGGCAGCAGUGAGGAAUAUUGGUCAAUGGGAGAGAUCCUGAACCAGCCAAGCCGCGUGAGGGAAGACGGCCCUAUGGGUUGUAAACCUCUUUUGUCGGAGAACAAAACCCGGGACGUGUCCCGGACUGCGUGUAUCCGAAGAAAAAGCAUCGGCUAACUCCGUGCCAGCAGCCGCGGUAAUACGGAGGAUGCGAGCGUUAUCCGGAUUUAUUGGGUUUAAAGGGUGCGUAGGCGGUCCGUUAAGUCAGCGGUAAAAUUGCGGGGCUCAACCCCGUCGAGCCGUUGAAACUGGCAGACUUGAGUUGGCGAGAAGUACGCGGAAUGCGCGGUGUAGCGGUGAAAUGCAUAGAUAUCGCGCAGAACACCGAUUGCGAAGGCAUCUCACGAAUCCGCGAUUGACGCUGAUGCACGAAAGCGUGGGUAUCAAACAGGAUUAGAUACCCUUGUAGUC
rnacentral:rRNA from 1 species